rnacentral:rRNA from 1 species
UGGGGAAUCUUGCGCAAUGGGCGAAAGCCUGACGCAGCCAUGCCGCGUGAAUGAUGAAGGUCUUAGGAUUGUAAAAUUCUUUCACCGGGGACGAUAAUGACGGUACCCGGAGAAGAAGCCCCGGCUAACUUCGUGCCAGCAGCCGCGGUAAUACGAAGGGGGCUAGCGUUGCUCGGAAUUACUGGGCGUAAAGGGAGCGUAGGCGGACAUUUAAGUCAGGGGUGAAAUCCCGGGGCUCAACCUCGGAAUUGCCUUUGAUACUGGGUGUCUUGAGUGUGAGAGAGGUAUGUGGAACUCCGAGUGUAGAGGUGAAAUUCGUAGAUAUUCGGAAGAACACCAGUGGCGAAGGCGACAUACUGGCUCAUUACUGACGCUGAGGCUCGAAAGCGUGGGGAGCAAACAGGAUUAGAUACCCUGGUAGUCCACGCCGUAAACGAUGAUUGCUAGUUGUCGGGAUGCAUGCAUUUCGGUGACGCAGCUAACGCAUUAAGCAAUCCGCCUGGGGAGUACGGUCGCAAGACUAAAACUCAAAUGAAUUGACGGGGUCAUAGCUGUUUCCUG